rnacentral:rRNA from 1 species
GAUGAACGCUGGCGGCGUGCCUAAUACAUGCAAGUCGAACGCUGGAGAUCUAGCUUGCUAGAUCGAAGGAGUGGCGAACGGGUGAGUAAUACAUAAGCAACCUACCCACGAAGACUGGGAUAAUCUCUGGAAACGGGGACUAAUACCGGAUAGGUAAUCGGAAGGCAUCUUCUGGUUAUUAAAGGUUAAAAACACUGGUGGAUGGGCUUAUGGCGCAUUAGUUAGUUGGUGAGGUAACGGCCCACCAAGACGAUGAUGCGUAGCCGGCCUGAGAGGGUGAACGGCCGCAUUGGGACUGAGACACGGCCCAGACUCCUACGGGAGGCAGCAGUAGGGAAUUUUCGGCAAUGGGGGCAACCCUGACCGAGCAACGCCGCGUGAGUGAAGACGGCCUUCGGGUUGUAAAGCUCUGUUGUAAGGGAAGAACGGUAGAUAGAGAAUAUCUAAGUGACGGUACCUUACCAGAAAGCCACGGCUAACUACGUG